UAAAAAAAAAAAAAAAAGUCAAAUCAAAUGCAAAAUUUCUUUGACUCCUCUGCAUCCUAGAAUAUUCAGCUAUUCCAAGAAUAAAAUGCUUAUCGCUUCAGACAUUAUUCACCCCAUAAGAGUCGAGGAAAAAGAAAAGAGCUUUAGAAAGAUGCAUGCACGCAUGCAUGAUUGACUUUCUCCACUAAGCCAACCUAAUAGCCUUUGGCUCUUCACUUUAAAAAAAGACCAACUUAUUAGGCUUAUUUUCUUCAUGCUUUAUUUUAUCAUAUUCUGAGCACGGUGCAGAACACCUUUAAACAAAGACGAAAGUGAUAGCAGAUAUAGAGAAAGAUUUAAAGCAGAAUGAUCUCAGAUAUCAACAACAUUUCAUUGUGACCCAUGCUGGAUCCCUAAUAAAAUAACAAAUAAAUAAAUAGAAAGGUAUGGACAAAAGACAAGCAAAUCUCUUAUUUCUACCACGAUCAGAUAUUAAGGGAUUAGGAAUAAAAGAAAAAGGAAAUCACGGACUUCUACUUUGUUGGGUACUUCAUGCACCAUAGAAAACAGAUCUAUAAUAAAAGAAUGUUCACAUUGGUACCUUGAAUAGGAAAAGUAACAACAAGUGCAUCUCCCUGUUGGUUUUGUAUGCAAAAACAAUAUCACUCGUGUAGAAAAAAUAUCUCCUAUCACUGCACUGUAGAAAACAGAAGGAACAAAUUGAUUGAUGGAAACAUAUUGUAUGCUGUGACAUAGUGGUGUAUGUAUAUAUUAAAAAUACAAUUUGCUUUCCAAGCUAUUCACUGGUGCACCGGAAAAUGGAAGGAACUUGGACAGGAAUGCAAUCCUUAAUUUGGAAAUCUAAUGAAGAAAAGGUAGUUACUCUACAAUUCGAGAUUAAUGCUCACUAGUUUUCUCUUGAGGAUAAGCAUGCAUGUUAAUCCGCAACCUGUUCUCAUCCUAUAUAUAAUGCUAAUGAUGACAAAUAGUUGAUCAAGCGUCGGUGAGACUUGGUAAACCUGUUUAUACUAUCUGUGUGGUAUUCAUGACGAAUAUUCCCGACUUGAAAAAUGCUAGCUGCACACCCCAUAGAGGGUCGUACAUCUUACACCCUUAGAUCCUAGAGUAUAGGAAAGGAAACCCCUUUUGAGUAUUGUUUAUUUACAAAUAAAUGAUAAGACCAGCGGAUGAAUCUUAAUCAUAGAAUACCUAGGAUGCCAGAUUUAAGCCUACUAUCUGGGCGUACAGGUAGCAUUGCUCAUAGGGAACUGGCCAAAGCCGUGAUGUCUCAUCAUGCAUUUCUUGUUCAUAUGAAUCAGCACAUGGAAAGCUAUAAGAUCAAAAGAAGCAUGAGACAUGAAAAUCUUGCAGCUGCAGGAUGUUGAGAAUACCUAAUGUUGUACACAACCUUAUCCCCACACAUGGACAUGUUGUUUCUAUAAUUUAAACCAAUGGCGCCCAAAGCACAGUAGAGCAACAUUGUCAUUUGCUCUGACCUAGUAGAAACCAUUAAAAAUACUAUAAUAAACAAAACUAUGUACAACAGGAAUAGACAACAGGAAUAUUCCAUGAUUGUGCGCUCCCUAUCGAAUAGUUUACUCGUCAGUGCUCUGAAAGCUCCUUUCCUCCGCAGCAAAAACUAUGCAACGAGCAUCAGAUUUACCUAACAGCUGAAACUUUUUCUAAACUUCCAGUAAGCAUAAUAAUAUAGAGUGCUUCAAAUCAAAGUAUUCAGACUGAACUCCCAGCAUCAGAUUGAACUAACAAUGAAAGUGUUUCUAACGAUAUAAAAUAUACUUACAAUCAAAGUGUUUCAACUAACAGUCAGAUUGAACCUGCUGGAGUCAACCAACCUGAAUAACACACAGGAAACUUGAGUCUAAAGAAACAAGCACAUUAAAACAAACCAGCCCAACAUAAUUAAGAAGACGCACCCGAAUUGGGCAUUACUCGUGCCUAUGGAAACAUACCGUAGUAAUCGAAGGACACAAAAAAAAAAAAAAAAAAAAAAAAAAAAAAAAAAAAAAAAAAAAAAAGAAGAAGCAAACUUUACCCUUUAAUCACUCCAGUAGAAUAGAGUAUGGUAAACAAGUUAAAAGAGUUUUUGGUGUAAGAGAAAUAUUAUAGAUUUCUCCUCUUCGAUUGUUCACUUUAAUCUAUGACUCUUCAUUCUGCAUCAAGAGAGAUUAAGAAAACAUAAUAGUCAAAUGUUUUGCAUGCCUCCAUCGUACUAAGCUUACAAAAGGGUAGAACAAAAUAUUUCUAGGCUUUUAAGUCCUCAGUUCCUGCUUCAAAAUUUAUGUUGUCGGCCCCUGUAGAGGGGAAAGAACCACAGAAGAAGCAGGAAUGAGAUUACAGUAUGUUUCAAGAACAUGUAAAGAUGUAUUUAGUGCAGCCCCAAACAGCUUCGUAGUCAAAAAAUCAAGAACAAAGUAAAAUAGAACAAAUUUAAAACAACAAACAAGCACAACUAAGCAAGUUAAUGCCAGAUCACACACCAAAGAAGUCUAAUGUCAUGCUAAUGGAAAACGAACCAAUAGAGUCAAAAAUAAUUUUUCCAAAUAAACUGAAUGUCCUCAGUCCCCUUCUGAAACUUUAGCAGAAAGAGUGCCAAAUGAAGUGCUGCUCCUAAAUAAGUGAUGAAGGUAAAAGUUCGAAACAAAAAAUUACCAGUAAAAUCAGCCGCUCCUACAUUAAACUUGGCAAAAUUGCCUAUCUAUGCAUGUGAGUAGUAAGCAGCUUUUCUGCAAUGCUUUCAACAUCCCAUUAUUGCACAAUUGUGGACGAAACCACCAACUCUGUCGUUGACAGACAGAACUUCCCACUCUGCUCCUCCAGCACUUCCAUCAUCCGGACACCAAGAGUGCAGCACGAGGACUUCUCUGCCAUCACGCACCCUACGAGCACCGAUGACCAAUAACCUGUCACCACAUGGCUUAAAAGCCAGACCCCAACCAUAAGAAGAAUCGGCCCUAACAGGCAACAGCUUCACGACAUUCCAAGUGUUAUUUUCUUUGUCGUACUUCUUAACUGUGUUCAUGGACUGAUCAGCUGCGAAAAGCUGAUUAUUCACAACAGCAACCAGAGGAGGAGACUGAAUGGCAUUAUUACCUCCAGGGUACAUAUUCUCAAUUCUCCUCCAUGUCCUAGUUUGAAUAUUAUACUCCUCUCCACAGGUUAAAGAAUCAGUGUUGUUCAACAUCCCCCCUAUGACAUAAAACUUCCCAUCCAUAAAGAAUCCGGAACAUGAUUUCCUUGGCAAAUUCAUAUCCGGUAAAGGUUCCCAAGUGUGGUAAUCAGAAUUGUACAGUUCAGCACAUUUUAAGACACGACCAGUCUCAUCAGUUCCACCAGCAACAAUGGCAAUUUCGCCAGAGCUGCCAGACCCAAACAUGCAACGGGGUAAAUUCAUCAGGGGACCCCUGGACCAAUUGCGAGUCACCGAACUAUACAUCCAAACUGCAGAUUGAGUAGCAGAUCCAGUAGCAGAUCCAGCAUAUUCCUGACCAAAAACGAGAAGCUGAGUUCCUACAGCAAGAGACUCUUUAUCCGCAUUAGAAAAGCACACAUCACAUGGCAUCCUUGGUAGCCUCAUCCAUCUCCUUAUGGAAGGAACAAACGCUUCCCAAGGCAUUGACGUACAAGCUAAGUAUACCCAAUACUCGAUGAUACGAAGUUCCCUCCUUUUCUUGUAUAAAUCUUCACAGCCAAUCAAUGAGUUGAACCUCUUAUUCAGACAAGAAAGAGAAGGAUAGUCAGCUCUACUUGCCCAAGCUAUACACUCUAGGGCAACAUCGUCGUGAAGGCUAGAAAGGGAACAGUCAUUUGAUCUCUGAUCACUGCGAUUGCUUCUAUACUUGGCCUUAGAAAUAGGCUUCUUCUUCUUUAGUUCUCUAUGGUCCAAACUAGGCAUGUCUAUCUCAUACUCAGUUGGAACAAGUCCAUUUUCUUUCAGGAGGUAGUUUUUUCUAGCCAAUAGUAGGCAAGCCCAUGCAAAAUUCUGUAAUGAACUUUGAUCCUGAGUAGACUUAAGAAGUUGCGGAAGUACAGAACCCGAAGCACCAAUGAUGCUUCUGGACUUGCAAUCUUGAACUUCCUCCAUGUUCUUUGACUUGUUGAACGAUGAGCUUAUACACAUAAAAUAUGAGGCACUAGUUCAUGACCUGCUGAAAAGGAAAUAAAGAAAGCACAAUCAAGCGCAAUCAACCUUUGCAUCAUGUAGGAUUAAAUGGAUAAUAGCCCAACUAACUGGAAGAUGAAAAAUAUGUGGAGAGAAAAUAAAAAGUAGACUAUUCAAAUAACUUCUGCCAUCAGUCUAAUAAAAGGUUCCAUGAAAAUAAUAAGAGAAUGAGGGAAAAUAGGGACACAUAUGUCCAUAGAAAUUGUAGUACAUAAUCCUGAUAAAGUUGCCAGUGAAAAGCAUCGCAAGUUGCAAACUUCCUUUACAAUUAGUCCACGCAGUAUCUGAACAAUCCAAGUCGAAACCUUUCUUCCUAUAGCCAUCCGAAUCUUCAAAUGUUAUUUCAGUAUCAUUCUUCAGAACUAAAUGCCUAUUUAGAAUAGCUUCAGGGACAGCUUAUUUACUCUAAGAAGCAACAAGGGGGUGAUUAAUCAAACAGAAAGUCUGAAGUCUUUUCUUUGGUGGGAAAGCUGAAAUCAUUUUAGGAAACCUCAGAAGAAAAAAGACUACAAAUGGAAGUUUAUGCUUCUGCCACAGCAGGAACAAAAUGUAAAAGAUCUAGUGAAAAUGCUAUUAAGGCUCUUCGAGCAGGUCAAGUCAAGAAACACAUCACAAAAUGCUUCAACAGGGCAAAACAGCCCAUAAAAACUACAAUGUCACCUUCUCACUUGUCUUUCUUACAUGAACUUACUUACGAAAUUCAUCAACCACAAUGACAAAGAUGCAUGUGGUGAAGUGAACCUGUCACCCAAGGUUAUAAUCCUUGAACUAUAGCAGCUAAACCAUAGGGCAACACCACUUAAUGCGUUACAAAUAAAUAUUAGAAACGGUUAGAAUAACAGGAAAAACCGAUCCCAUCUAUCUGUUGGUUCCACCAAAUCUAUACAUACCUCUUUUUAAUUGUUAUAAACAAAAUAACUCUACUAACUCUUUCCAUACACGUCAUUUGUUACAACAUUUGCCGUUGUUGUGGGCACUUAACACAGGAAUUUAUCAAUUAUUUUGUGCCUGAACUUCAGGAUGUUUUCUGCAGUCAGUCCUUUCCUAAAUCACAAGAAGUUUCUGGAACAAAAGUAAAGUAAAAAAUGCCAGGAGACCCCCCCUCAACUAUAGGUCAUUCUGAAAUAGACCCCCAACAAUAUCUUUUCUUGGCUAAACAUCCCCUUGACUUCUAGUUUUUUUUUUUUUUUAUUUGAGUUAUUUCAGUCAGGUGAAUUAGGGAUAUCAUCAAAAGCAAUGACUUCAUUAACUAUCAGGCAUUGGAAUCAACAUUUCUAUUAGCUAAGAAAACUGGUAAGGUCAUUAGAUCUAACGAAAUCAUAAAUUAGUUUGACACGAAUCACUUAAAUCAAUACAAUUGGCAUUUGAGGGGGAUCUCAAUAAAAAAACUCAACUCUGUGGGGGACAUAUUCAGAACGGCCUACAGUCGAGGGUGAUCACCGUACAUUGCUACCUAAAAGUUACUUAGAUAACAUAAGUAAAAAAAAGAUCAUAAAAGAUCGACAAUUCUCAGAAAAUCUGUGCUUGUUCUAAUUAUAAUUAUAGCAGCAUCGAACAACACUAAGUUUUUCUACAUCCUCACCUCAAAUCAUACACCUAACAUUAGAAGCAAAAAAUUCUCACGUCGUCAAAGCUAUUCUAAAGCAUCUGCGCAAACUAAUUCACUUUGUCCUCACCUCCAAAGAUUAUUUGCAACAAAAAUCUCAGCAUCUUUUGGAACAAAAACCAGCGGAUCGAGUAACCGAACCCAAAUCUCAGCUGAGAUCGCGAGAUCGCAGGAAGAGGAGAUCGUACUGCGCCACGAACUCCGCCGACUCCGCGUGAUCACCCCACUUUCCCUGCAAAACCCUAGCUGAUCAGUGAAAAGGGCCUGGUUUGAUCUGUGGCGGAGCAUCGAUCUCACAUUCUCACCUCUAUGCGCGGUCAUCGGCGCGACCUCGACCGUCCGAUCGGCGAUCGCCGGGGCACGGCCGAGCUCCGCCUCAGCUGGUGUGAACCACCAUUAGAGGGAGGCGGAGCCACUAGAGGAGAGAGUAAGGGGAGAGAGAGAGAGGGCACCGAGGGAAAAAGGGGAGGAGAAAUACAAUACAUAACAAUAUAAAUACGGAAAGAGGUGGUAAAAUGUAUUGACAGUCCCCGUACCAUCACGAAACUACACCUCGGUCCACGUAAUUUUCACGUAGUGACGUAGUAACCACUUCAGUCCCUCAAUUUCAUAUUUAUUACACUUUAGUCACUGUACAUUUACCAACUCUAAUUGUUAUUAUCAUUUAGUAUUAAAAGGAAAAGUUUAAUUAAUUAUAUUUAAAAAUCAUAAAAUUAAUUAUAAUAUAUAUAUAUAUAUAUAUACAUACCAAAUUAUGAUGUAGGAAUAUUACAGGGCCCUUUGCAGUUGCAAAGCGAAAAAAAAAAAAAAAGAACAAUCAAUUCUCCGUUUUCGGGGCCGGGUAGAAUGGUAAAAUGGGAAUAGAAGAAUCUAGGAGGUUCACACGCAUCAGAUUCGGCGGGAUCAACGGACGGACGAGACGUAGUGAGGGAAUGGGGUGGACGGCGUGAUGUUGUGGUCCCGUAGAAGCAGUCAUUAAUAUUAUUAUGCGUGCGCCGCUGCAGCGGAGCGGGGAUGACGGGAGGAGGCGCCGCUGCGCACGUGCGCGACGAGGUGUUGUAGAUUGGGCCGGCUGUCGACGAAUACUGCGGGAAUGCCACUGGAGUCGCGACGUUGACUGCGUGUGAUGGUAAGGUGUCGACGAAGAAAUCACCCGCCCUGUCAGGGUACCGCUGCUGCAGUGACUGAUGAUUUGACGGGAUCCUGCAAAUCAACUACUGCUGGAAAAGGAGCUUCGCUUAUUAGUCCUCUCAAAAGGUCGGUUCUGUGUGUUGAUGAUAUGUUCAUUCACACUACUGGUGCCUCAAACAAUAAAAAUUAAAUUAAAAAAAAUUUAUUUCGACCGAAUUUGGAUCAAUCCUGACAAAAGAUACAAAUGAGACCGCACUUUUUUUUUUUUUUAAGAUAAAAUUAGCACGCUAUCUAUUUUAUUCAUUAUGUAAAUAAAUUUAGCUACAAUAAUUGAGACAUCGGAGCCUCAGAAAAAUUUAGGGCGAAAAAAAGAGAUAUAAAAAAGUGUGAUUACAAUCGAAAAUCAAAAUCCGUUACUUAGUUCAGUAAAAUUUAGCGCAUUUCUUUUCUAUAUCAUCUAACGGUCGCUAAGGGGUCAAAAGAUUGCUUUCUAAAAAUCACAUUAUUUCUUUCCCGCGAAAUCUUCCACCAACAUGUAGCAGUUAAAGCCAGAUUAUUUGCUGCUGUUUUUCUUUUUGUGUUGUUUCCCAACAUAAACUUCCAUAUAUCCUUGACCUCUGUUACAGAAUCCGAAAUAUGUCUACCUUCUAAAAUAUUGAACAUCCAAAAUCUACUAAAUACGCACCCCACCAGUAAAUAAUCGACAGUCUCAACUUCGCAACCACACAUAACAUAUUGUUGACUUCCGAACCAACCUCCUUUGUGCAAGUUAUCAACCGUGAGUAAGCAUUUUCUAAAGGCUAACUAAAUAAAGAUUUUAACUUUAUACGGUAUUAAGAAGUUAAAGUUUCUUUUUAGGAAUUAAAAAGUUAGAAUUAGCUUCAAGACUCCAAAAUAGAAGCCUAAAGUUAAAGUUUCCGAUCUCGUUACUGUUGAAAAUACUACUACCACCACAACAACGACAUCAGCAAAAAGGGAGAAAACCAAUCACUGGGAUGAGAAUAUCACUGUAUUAAAAAAAAAAGAAAAAGAAAAAACUCCUAAAUUGUUCAAAAUUUCCCCGUCGAGUGAUUCAAUAGAUUGACAUGUUAAAAAGUAAAAGGAGAAUAUCUACAAUUUACAAUCUGAUACAUUCUUGUUCAUAUCGAUCUCAUAAAUGAGGCCGUCAUGGACGCUCAGGGAAAAGCUAAAAGACAAAAACAAAAACAAAAAAACAGCUCCAAAUGAAUGAGGAGAAGGCAUUAACCUCUCUGGUACCUACAUCAAGCUACACUGUUGAGGAUUUACUUCUUUGGUUUUUUGGGCGGUGGCGGUCCCAUGGUACCUGCUUCAGCAUUGCGUUUAAUUCCCAGAAAAUGUUCAACCUGUUAGAGGUAUAGCAAUAUGUAAGCAGAUUUUCCCUACCAAAAUAUACGGUACCUUCGUGUGUUACCACGGAAGGCACUCAUAGUUAAACAUACGUAAACAUAUUAUAAAAUUAGGCAGUAAAAACAGAAUUUUUAGGUUCAGCUGUCCAUUUCAACGGUUCUAUGAAAUCCAUUGUGCAACAAUGUCAAGCUGUGGAAGAGAAACUACCUUUUUAUCCCCCAGCAUUGGUGUCAGGCUCCCCAGAUGGUCUUUCUCUACUGUAGCAAAGCCGCUUCUAGGGUCGCUAGUUUGCCUAAAUCACAGAAGAACAUAAGUAGAAUAUAGAAGAAAAUGUUCUCUGCAAACACAUCAGUAAGGAAAAGCACUACAGUAAUGUGACGCUAUAAAUGGGAAAGAAAAUAAUUUCAGAAGCUUUAUAUUGCUGCAUAUUGGCGGCACUUGUCAACAAAUUCUAUGCAGGCUGAAAAUAGAGACAACUGUAGCCUCUAUAAAAACAGCAAUUACCAGCAGAGUUCAUAAAACUUACCCUGGUUUUACAUGCCCGCUCAAAACAAGGUAAGGAGUCUUCAACUUAGCCUGAGCUUCUCUCAUUUUCUCCAUGGCCAACAAUGGCGUGUCAGAAGCUUUCAUCUGUUUGGUCUUUAGAUCCUCCUGAAACUUCUUCAUGCGCUUUUCUUGCUUCAUUUUCCCUGGUCCCUUGCCAUGGAAUUUGUGUGAAAGCAUCCGAAAGGCCUCCUUUGGCGUCAUCUGAGUAAAGCAGUAAGAAGGCAUCAGGAUACAACUCACUAUUAGCUCUCAUUUUGAUCAUAAAACAAUUGUAUAUGUACAUAACAUGCUACAAAGCAAAAGACAACUCACAAUUCGUCCAAAUUCAUCAGUCCUCUCAAUGCGCAUUUCCUUAGGCCCCUCAUUAUCAUUGAUGCCGACAAGCUUACUUUUCUUCUUGUCCAUAGUUCUGCCACCCCAAUCAAUCCCCUCAUUAAGUGUUCCUCGAUCUUUAAGCAACUUUAGAGCUCCAGCUAGUCCUUUUCCGACAGCCAACUCAUGAAUAAUUUCAUCAGGGGCAACAUCCGUGUCGUCUUCAUUGACAGGUAAUUCUGCACUGUCAAUUUCAUUCACUUCCGUCCAUCCGCCAACCUCAGCUUUCACUUCCUGCUCUGCAGGCUCAGGGGCAUCAUCCUCAUCCAUGAAUACAUCUUCUGCUUCAGGUUUAUGAGUAUCUAAAAGAAGAGGAAUCAACACAUAAUAUUAGCUAAGCCUCAACUCAAGAAAGAGACUAUCCAGAAUAGAAGAAACUCGGUGCCUAUUUAGCCUAGCUUCCUUCUGCUUUCAGCUAUGGUUCACCUGCAGUGAACUGUCUGGCAAACAGAAAAGUUUGCUGCUUUUAUUAGAAAAUUGUAGUUACAUUACCUUGAUUAAGUUGUAAACCCAUUAGAAAAUCCUCCAUCUCCGUUAUGACAACCUUAUUCUCCUGUGCUUCUUCUGUAGAACUGGCCUCUUCUUCUCUCUUCUUGGAUGUAGCUAAGAGCGCAACUGCUUGAGGACCAACAGGAAUUGAUUCAUCCUGCUUUCUUAGGGCAAGCCUUCUCGCCUGCUCGAGAGACCUUUGCAGAUCUUCAUAAUCUUCACCAAAGACAAGUUCCACAUCCUGUGGAACAGAUUGUACAGUUAUGGUUUGCUCCUGCUGCAAAACUUUCGAUGCCUCUUCUGCCUUUGCUAUAGCUGCUUGGUACGCGUUACUUCUCCUCUCAGCCUCAGCUCUCUCCUGCUCCUCCCUUGCCACUUGCCGUUUUAGAUCAUUACGGGAUCCGAGAUCUCCAGUGCCCAAUCCGGCGGCAAUGGCUUCUGCUUCUAAGGCAUCCAAAUCCAACUUCUCUUUCUUCCUCAAGGAUUUCUUUUUCUUUGGCUUCUUAAAUUGAAGCAUUUCUUCGGCAGUGUAAUAAUCUGAAGAUGUCUUUCCUGCUGCGCUGAGAUCUUCAUAGGCUUUUUGGGUGGAACCGCCUGCAAUCCUCCUGCGAAGCUGCCAGUGUAAAAGUAGCUGAUCAGAAAUAACAUCCAAAACAUUCCAUGUCUCUUUCUCAUGCAAAAUAUUCUCAAAAAUUUACAGAAAAAUAUGCAUGUAACAGAAAAUGUUGACCUAAACAUGAUUAUAAUCACAUCGAGAUACACUCAAUACAUGAUUAUCAAAACUGGCUAUUGGCCAAGAGGCUAGCUAUGAAUACAAAAGAACAAAUAGCAGAAAGUAGCAAUAACAAAAAUAACACUAACAACAAACAACGAUGACAACAACAACAACAACGACGAUGACAACAACAAUAAUAAUGAUGACGACGACGAUGACAACAGAAUUUCAGCAAAAAAUAAAUAAAUAAAUAAAAUAAACAUGAUACAAGUCCAGUAAAUUUAUUUACAGUCAAAGAGGAAGGUGUGGAAGGGGGAAAAAAAACAAAGAGAACGAAGGUCCAAGAAGGAAAUGUCCAUGAAGUUGUCACUUGAGAAUCUAAAAGAUAAAGUAGGGGCACAUAUAACCUUAACAGCAACGGGAGACAAAGCGUACCUCUUCCAACUUCUUCUCUGCUUCAACUGAGAAGCCCCCACUUUCAUCCAAGGUAACACCCUUUUGAAAAAGAAAAACAUAAUCAGAAUAGGAGGAGAAAUCUUAAAAAAAGAAAUCAGUCAACUCUGCGGGAUAUAGUCACCUCAUCUUCAAUCUGAUCAUCAUAUUGUGGAAGUAUUGGUCUCCGUGACCCCAUUUCGUCACUAAAUCUACAAGUUUCAAAUGGGAAAUGAACAUUUACUAUAUGAAGCCAUUCACAGAAAAAAUAACUUUUUGCUAUCAAAAAGAAAAGGAUAAGAAAUAAUUUUUCAAGUACAAAACCUACUUAUCAUCAUAUACUCCGGUCUUUUUCUUUGCUGCCCUGUAUGCAUCAUCUCUCUGUUUUUGCUCCACGAUCUCCACAUUUUCAAGCACAUCAGACUCUGGUAUAUUCAUUCAGUAUCAAAUUAGCCUGAAAGAUUAGAAGUAAAUUGGUAAGCUAUUUUUACUACAAUUAUCGAGUACCUUCAUUAAUGUCACCACCAGCAAGAAUAUUUUGAUCUUUCAGCACCAAGGUAACAGCUCCCUCAGCUGCUUUUUCAAACCCAUGACUAAUUUUUACUCCGGCUAGGUGGCCUGAAAGCAGGAACAGCAGAACACUAAUUGUUAGAAAUAUUGCCCAACAAAUUAAAAAAAUAUAUUACGAAGUAAAAAUAAGCAGAAGAACCACCCAUCUUCAAAUAAGCAUAUUAAAAUUAGUUAGGAAAUUGGUCCCUGUAGCUUGACUCGAAUUUCAAUUUCGCCUCGUAGUAUCAAUUCUAACAAUAUAGCCCCUGAAGUUUGUUCUGUGUAACAAUUAAGUCCCACCUUCAGUCAACCAUCUGGAAAAGUGCCACGUGAGCGCCAUUAAUAGACUUUCCGUUGUUAAAAUUGAAUUACUAAGAACGAAUUGGACCUGAGUUCAAACAUCAAGGACCAAAUUGAAAUCAUGACCAAACUUCAAGGGUAAGUUUGAAGCUCGAAACUCUCAGAAUGAAUUUGAAAUGAAAACAAACUUUUGGGAUAAAAUUACAACUAAGACUCUGUUGACCAAAAUUGUAACCCAGGUCAAACUUAGGGGACUAAAUAUGUCACUGACCCUGUAAACUAAUAUUCAAGAAUCAAGUACAAGAUCGUGUACCUCUAUCAAGUUCAUCUGCUUCAUCAUCUCCACUUCCUGCUAGGAUGUUAUCCUGAGAAUUUCAUAUACGCAGUAAGAACCAUUACAUCACAAUAGUUGAUUCCUAGAGAAAAGCGGAAAAUAUUAAACCACUCACCUGCUCCUCCAAAGCUUUUGCGAGAUGUAAUGCUUUCUCCUUCUCAGCGUUUCGCUUCUCCUCAAGCUUCCGACUCCUAGUGACCCAAGCUAAGAUCUCAGAAGUACUAUCAGAUGUCACCUUCAUUCUUUCUUCUCUAAUCCUGACAGGACAAAACUGAUCUUAAAAACAAUGACACGCCAAAUAUUUAACAAGCAUGAUAUGAUCCUUUUCAACCAAGAGAAGUAAAAAAAAAAAAAAAAAAAAAAAUACAAAGCAAGAGGUACGGUGUUAUAAUGGUAUCUCCCGUGACGAGUACAGUUAGCUUAACCUGCAAAGUUCCAUAUGACGAAACACAGAAGCUUCAAGAACAGAUGCAUAGCUUAUCAUAGUUUGUCAUUGUCAACUCUCAUUUGCAGCAAAUAGUUAGUCACAUAGAUCACUAGCAAUGAAAUGCAAAAGUAAUUUACUGAUAGCAAGAGAUUUGGACAUUAAAUUAGUUCAAAAAGGAAUUCAAAGGGCUACAUAAGUGGCUAUCAAGGGAAAUAAAAAAAAAGGGGUCUUACUUCGUAAGACGCUCUCCAAGAUCGGUGCUUGGCACCUUGGGAGCGGUCGCUUCAUGAAGGUUAUCCUUCUCUCGAUCUUCGUCCUUCCUCUCCCUAGACUUCUCCUUGGCAUUGUCCCUCUCUAUCUUAUCCCUCUCCUUCUCUCGAUUCUUACUUCUCUCCUUCUCCCUAUCCCUCUCUUUAUCUUUUAACCUAUCUUGAUCCUUUUCCCUCUCCCUCUCCCUCUCCCUCUCCCUCUCCCUUUCCCUACCCUUCUCGCGAUCUCGCUCUCGCGCUCUCUCAUCCCUCUCACUCUCAUGAUGCUUACUUCUUUCCCGGCCGCCCUUAUCCUUCUCCCUGCCGUGAUCGCGCUGCUCUCUUUCUCUCUCGCCUUCUCUAUCCUUCUCCCUCUCCUUCACCCUAUCCCUAGACUCUCUCUCCUUCUCCCUAUGCUUACUAUCCCUCUCGUAAUCCUUCUCCCUCGCCUUCUCCCGACCACUCUUCUCCUUCUCCCGAUCCCUCUCCUCCUUCCUUCGGUCCCUACCACUAUCCCUUCUAUCAUAUCGAUCCGAAUCCCUGUGCUCCUCUUUCUCCCUCUCCCUCGACCGAUCCCUGUGCUUGCUUCUAUGCUUCCCCGGCUCCUUAUGCCUCUCCCUAUCCCUGUCACCGUCCAUGCCGUCCACCUCCUCGUCCCUAACCCCUCUCCCCGAAACCCUAGCGUCCUCCCCCAUCUCCGCAUCCGCUACACCCAUCGAAUUGCCGAAGAGGGUGGAGUAAUAGACUAAUAGCUCCCAAAAAUCCGGUUGUUAUGCUGCGAAGGAGCAAAGCGACGCGGUUACAGCUGAGAUUUGAGAUAAAAACAAGGAAUCGAGGAGAGAGAGGGAGCGGAUUCGAGGAUCAGAGAGAGCUUACCUGAUGAAUCGGAACACACGAUUAGGGCAACAAAACAGAUGAUCGAGAGAACGAGAUCGAGAGAGGAGGGAAAGAGGGAAGGGAAAGAGGGAUUAGAGCGGGGUAUAUAAUGCACGCGAGGGUCGGCUUAUAGUGGGCUUCUAUUUCGGCCCAUCCAAACCCAUAAAUCAAGCUAAUUUGGGCCGAACCAAAUAAAGAGAAAUUAACUGGCCCGGCCUAUACAAAUAUUUAACGGGUCCCAAUUUUGGCCCUUGAGUCUCGUAUAUUGAGACUUGGACCCGAUCCGCAAAAGGUGGGAAGUGGCCACGUGGGCAGUGGGCCGGUUGGAUUUGGGUUGUGGUGAAAUUUUCAGCAGACCCCCUCAGCUAUUAGAGACUUUGAAAUGGAGUCUUCAACUUUUUUUUGUCACACAUACGCUGGCUUUUAAAUAUUUAGUUAAAUUUGAAUUAUUUUUAAAAAUUAAAAUGGAAAUUAGUUAUUAAAUACUGAAGGAUUUCACAAUUUUGUUAUUUGAAAAGUGGAUACAGCUGCUAAAUUUUAUGAAACAGGUGUUAAAUCAAAUGAUAUCUCGAAUUGAAUUGAUUGAGAAAAGAAAUCAGAAAAAGUUAAUAAAGCAAAAAAUCAAAAAAAAAGAAAAAAAAAAAAAACCUUUCAACUACAUAUUGCCCUAAUCUUAAACAUUUAAAAAAAAAAAAACUUUUUUAUGUGACCAACUUUGGAAAAGAAAAUGACUAUAGAUUUUGGAACACUUUUUUCUUUUUCUCCCUUCAAUCAGGAACCAAUCUACAAUUCCAUAAGUCAAACGCAAUUCAUGUAUGUUUCCAUAGACAUGCAUUUACAAAUUUAAUUUGAUGGGUAGCUACAAAUUAUACAUAGCAAACCUUUAAUAAUAAACCAUUUUGCAAUCUCGCUACAUCGAUGCCGAAAAGGUGUUGAACAUAUUGGUUAGUCCAUGCUCAACCAAGUAGCUCUCUAAGUGUCCUUGAGCCAAAUUUGAAUUUGGAUUAGAAUUCGAAUUCGAAUUUGAAUUUGAAUUUGAAGCGCCCUGAAACCUAGUCAAAUGGUUCAUGGCACCCUUCAUUGCAUUCGUAUCGCGAGAUAAAAUGUCCAAAAUGCCUCCCAUGUUCGCCCUCCUGGAGAGGAGAGGAGAGUUGGAGAAGCAGGGCACUUGCUCAUGCCCCUCGAAGCUUGGCGCGGCCCGGUCGAAGGCGGUAAAGGUGUCGACAAGGGGCGGGAGCGGAGGCGGGUCCGAGCUCGAGUCUACGUUGUGCCAGGUUUGAGUCACUGGCAUGGAGGUGAGUCCUCUUGAUUUGUUGAGUACUCUACAUAAGACCCAGUCUCCCUGUUUACAAAGAUAAUAAUAAUAAUAAUAAUAAUUAGAAAUCCAUUGAGUAAUUAGCACAUGGAUUAUUAAAAUAUUUCUAACUAUAUAAGAUAUUACAUUUUAUAGUCAAAAGGUUAGGUAUUAGGAGACUAAUUCAAUGAGGUGGAGGAAGUAGCAUAUUCAAGUAAGUUGACAAAACUGUUAUACCAAUUCAAAAUUCAGCUGCAAUUUGAAUUUAAAAUUUAUUUAGAGGACAAAUUUAGAUACUGAAAUUUCCAUAUUUCGUACUGUGAUGGAUGAAGAAGAUGUCGAUAUCGCGCGGUGUAUGAUGGAUGGUGAUGAGACGGAGAAAACAACAACAAUAAAAGUAAAUUAGAGAUUUGAACAUAGUAUUUUGGUCGUAUAAAAUGAUUGACUUUGUUUGUUUUUCGCAAAUUUUGAAAGGAACCAAGCAUGCGAUAUCUGAAUUAUUUAAAGAGUCGAUAUUCGACACGAAAACGACACUUUAAUAGAGAAGAGUUCAACUUGAAAAUAAAGAAAUUGAACUAAAAAUUCUCCUUGUACAAAGAAUUUUUUUUUUAAAAAAAAAAAUCACUUAUGAAGUGUAGCUAUACCAUUUAGGCUUCUGAUUCAUACCAAAAUUCACAUGAGCUCGAUUGGUUCCAAAACCGCAUGCUUUUUAAGUACCUUAAUUAGUUUAAUUAUGAGUAAGAUUUUAGUACUUGGUUUAGCAAUUAUUUCUUUAUCUUUCUUUUCUACGUAGUUGGUGGAGAUAAUUAAAUGCUUGUGAAUAUUAUGUAGAUCUGAUGAGCACAACUUUUGCAUUUUUAUUGCCUCAUGAUUGUGGUGACAAGAAACUAUUGGUCGACGAAUCUAAACAAUUAAUUAAGCAGGGGAGAAAAGUCCAAAUUAACCUGCAGCUAGAUGUAUUUGAAAUAAUAAACACUAAAAAUCUACUAGGACUAAACCAUUUUUAAAUUCAAACCAGCACCAUGCAUCAAACUAAAAGAUAUAAAUAUCGAUAUAUCCCAAAUAAUAAGGCAUUUUGGGUGCCGUGUGGGUGUUAAUGGAUUUGAGUCCCUGGCAGGGAAACUCUCUGGAUAGGGUUGUAGGAGCCAAGUUCCUAAUUCUCGAAAUAUACUAUUAAUUAUACUAAGUUAUUGGUGCUAGCUAUUAAGUUUUCGGCUCUUAGAUGAAAGGAUAUGAAUGUGGUUAGAAUGAUAAUAGUUUUCUAGGUUGAGUAGGUGGUUAGUUAAAUAGUAUGAUCUAACAGAUAAAAAAGGAUCAAAGAGAAAAAUUUAACUGUAGAAAAUUUGAUAGAACCAAGCGUUAGUAUAGUAGCCAAAUUAUAUAUAUAUAUAUAUAUAUAUAGAGUAGGGCUACUGUGCUAUUAAGAGCACAGCAGGCCGUGUGCUCCUAACUUUCUAACCACCCAUCAAGUUUGAUGGGUGGUUAGAAUAAAAAGGGGAAGAGAUGUUGGAGAGAAAUUGUGUGUCUCAAUUUUUCUUCUUCUUGAAUUUCUCUUCAAUAUCUCUUUUCUCUUUUAUUCUAACCACCCAACAUGUUUCUUAAAAAAAAAAUUUUUUUUUUUAGUGAAUACUUCACAUCGAUAUGGUAAAUCCGAAGACUAAGUAUGGUUUUAAGUGUACUCGAGCUAACCAAGGUUUUGGCGUACGAAAAAUUCAUGGAAUUAAUCAAAUUAAUACUCAUUCUAAAAUCAUGAACCAAAUCGUUAAUAAAGAAAUAGAAAGAAAAGAUGCAUCAACCACCUCUAUUAAUUUACGAACACUUAUAAUACAUCUAGACUACUCGUGUUGAAAACGUAAAAAUAACGGAGUACUAACACCACUGUUCUUUGAUAACCAGCUGCUUAGAUUUGUUAAUUAAUUCGUCCCCUCUUUUCAGGUUUAAUUGGACGUCGAUCUACAUAAACUUUAUUAUUUGUGAUUUUUAGAUGAUCCUGAUUUGGUAAAAAUUUAAGUUUGGUCGUGGUACGUAGUUUGAUUUUCUAUAUUUAUAGCUAUAUAGGGUUUAUUAUUCCGUAAAACCCACGGCACACCCACAAUUACCUAAACUCAGGGACCGUCCCUUUGAGAGACCUAUCCCAACAUCCUCGGUUCAAGGAUUAAGAGCUUUAUAUGAUAAUUAAUAUGAUUCAAUAACCACGAUCGAUAAUUCAAAAGCCGAGAAUCUACUUUCCUAUACUUACACCAAUCUUACUAUUAUCAAAAGAUCCAACUCAUCCACCAAUCAAUUUAUCAUACUAGAUUGUCUAUUUUUUCCUAGUUUCUCUUUUUAAAUUGACAUCUUUUAAACGUAUCUUGGUUACUUUUGCAAGUAUAUAUAUAUCUGUAUAUAUAUAUAUAUAUAUAUAUAUAUAUAUCUCAUCCCGAUGACACGAUAAUUCUCGUGUCGUCCGGCACACGAGGAUUGAAAGAUUGGUGGGUAGUUCAAACUANUAUAUAUAUAUAUGAAAGUUUUCAUUAGUUUAUGCAUGUUAAUUAAAGCCACCAAAUAAGUAGCCCAUGAAUUUUGUCCCACGCAAUGCAAUCAAAUAUGAUAUAGGAGCACGCAUGCAAACAAAAUGCCAAAACUGAAUUAGGAUUUUGGAUAUAUAUAUAUAUAUAAAUAUGGAGGAGAUCGAUCGAUCGAUCGAUCGAUCGAUAGACAUAUAUAUAUAUAUAUAUAGAGAGAGAGAGAGAGAGAGAGAGAGAUGAAAACAAGUAGGUAGGUAGGUACCUUAACAAAAGGAAACUUUGGGGGAUGAUGAUGAUGAGGUGCUACUUCCAUGCGGAACUCGUGCAUGACCCAGUCAGUCUUCCUGCCCUUGGGGGCUCUUCCCUGAUAGAAGACGAGCGUCUUACGCAUCCCCACGACGACUCCCCGUCGGCUGACCGACCGGUCUUUCCCCGUCGCCUUCCAGUAUCCCGACUGGGUCGCCCUGUUCGUCCGCUGGCCCGUCGCGUACUUUCGGUCCCGCAGGCUGAAGAAGUACCACUCCUUGCCGCCCCCCACGCAUGCCACUUCUGCACCAUGCAUAUAUAUGCACCAUAUAUAUAUAUAUGCACAACAAAAUUAAGGAAAAACAAUUAUUAUUAUAUAUAAGAGUUCAUUAAUUUGCAUGGCUUGCAUGGCAUGCAUGCAUGCAGUUCGAGAUCAUAAAUCUAAAUAUUCCAUAUCCUGUACUUUUGAGAUUAUUAAUUAGUUACUCUAGAAUCCUUAAUUAUUGAAUAUAUUAUACUAAUUAAUUUAUAAUUCGUUCUUUAUUAGUUUAAGUUUUUGAAGAAUAAUUAUACUUGUUUUACACAAUUUAAUAUGGUACGAGAGUAGUAGCUUCUGAAUUCGAAUCUCACCACGCAUGCAUGCUUCUAGCCUGAUUUAAUCCCCUUCUAUUUAAUUUAAAUUCAUAUAUAUCUUGAACCUAUCAAUCAAAAUGUGUCAAUUUUUUUUUUUUUUUUUUUUUGUUUGCCGUCUCUCUUAUGUUUUUUCUGGAAGAAACUCCUCUUAAAGUAAUUAGGAAUAGGUUUAAGUGCCCCAUAACAAAAACAAAGUCCUAAUUAAACUUUGGAAAGAAAGGGAAAGAAAUCAAUUUCCUAUUACAGCAAUAAUUAAGUAUUUUCCCUCCCUCCUAAUAUCGAAUUUUUCUGUAAGCCUUCCAUAACACAAAUUUCCAUUUAUAGGUAAAGGAUGAGGAUAAUAGCCAUUUUUAGGAGUGGAAGACAAACCGAGUUAGUAAUAACAUCAUAUUGGGGAGAACCCUAUCACUGACUUUUNUAUUAAGAUCAUUUAACUCCUUUAUAUAUAUAUAUAUAUAUAUGUAUAUAUAUAUAUAUGUAUAUGUAUAUAUAUAUAUAUGUAUAUUGAGCUCCUAUGCUUUUAAAAGUAUCAAGACAUUGGUGCUUGUAGAUUUUUAGCCAUUGGAUUAAGAGAUAUGCGGUUAGGAUGAUAUGGACCCCAUAGCUGGACUCUCUCUCUCUCUCUCUCUCUCUAUAUAUAUAUAUAUAAACUAGACUAUAAUACUAUUAAUAGCACCAAGUCAUUGUUUAUAUUAGGUUUUCGACCCUUGGAUGAAGUGAUGUGCGGUUAGAAUGGUAGUGGUCCUCUAGUAUUGAGUGGAUGACUGGUUGAAUAAUAUGAUUUAACGAGUGAAAAUAAUCAAAAGGGUAGCACAAAGUGUUUGAUGCUAUAUAUUUUAAAUUUAAAUUAUUGUUGGUGGUAUGUGUUUAUUUAUUGCUUGAUUUUUUAACUUUAAUUUAUUUCCAAAUAAAUUUUAUAUGUUUUUAAUUUAGUUAUACUGAAAAUAUUUUUCAUAUGUAUUUCAUAACAUACAAAUUUCUUUAAAUUUGAACCCAAUUUAAAAUUUGAAUUAAUUUAAAAUUUUAAAUUAAUAAAUUUAGAUUUAAAUUUAUGUAUAAAAUUCAAAAUUUGAAGUUUAUUCUAAAUCCAUAAUUUGAAUAUUAAUAGCUAUUGCAGAUAUAGAUCUAUUUAUCAAUCAAUCUAUCUUUUAAAUUAUUUUCGUUGUAAUAUGUUGAUAGUCCCAAAAUUUAAAAUUUUAAAUUAAUUUUAAAUUUUGAAUUGAAAUAUAGAUUUACAGCAGAUAUUCUGACAAAAAUUUGAAUAACCAUAAAUUUUUUUUGUUUUAGAGAUAAAAAAAUUAAAUAAAUUUUGAAUUAAAAUAUAGAUUUACAGUAGAUAUCUUUCAGUUGGCAAAAAAUUAGAUAAGUAUUUUUUUUUCUAUUUUAGAGAUAAAUAUAAAUAAAAAGUCUUUUUAUUACGUAAUUUAUUUUACAUAAGGAAAGAAGAACCAAAAAUUUUUUCUGCCAAAAAAAAUGAGUUUGUCGACAAACCGAAAUUUGAAAUACGUACUUUUAUAUAUAGUAUAUAUAUAUAGAGAGAGAGAGAGAGAGUCCGGCUAUAGUGCUUCUAAAAGCACCAAACACUUGGUGCUUGUAACUUUUCCACCGUUACAUUUAUCUCUUUAAUUAUUUUCAUCUGUUAGUUUAUAUUAUUCAACUAACUACCCACUCAACCCUAGGAGACCACUAUUAUUCUAACCGCACACCUCGUAAUCCAAGAGCUACAAACCCACAAGCACUAAUGACUAUGUACUUUUAAAAGUAUAGGAGCUCAAUUAUAUAUAUAUAUAGAGAGAGAGAGAGAGAAAGAGAGAGAGUAAAUUGGGCCGGAAUACUAUUAAUAGUAUUUGCCUCCUUUUGCUAUCAAAUUUUUAACUUUUGAAUGAGAAAUUAUAGAAUUAGGAUGAUAUUAGUCUCUUAGGGUUGAAUGGUUCUCACUAGGUUAUAAUAUUUAAAUCAAUAAUUAAAAAUAAUUAAAGGAAUUGAUCCAAAGGGUAAAAACUUGAUAGUAAAAAAAGGCAAAUAUUAUUAAUAGUAUUUUAGCCCAACUCUCUUUAUAUAUAUAUAUAUAUAUAUAUAUAUAAUUUUACAUUAUAAAAUUAAAAUUAGUUUGGAAAUGG
rnacentral:lncRNA from 1 species